rnacentral:rRNA from 1 species
GGGGGAUGCAAGCGUUAUCCGGAAUCAUUGGGCGUAAAGCGCCUGUAGGUUGUUUAUUAAGUCUGUUGUUAAAGACUAGGGCUUAACCCUAGAAAAGCAAUGGAAACUAAUAGACUAGAGUAUGGCAGGGGUAGAGGGAAUUUCUAGUGUAGCGGUGAAAUGCGUAGAUAUUAGAAAGAACACCAGUGGCGAAAGCGCUCUACUGGACCAUUACUGACACUCAGAGGCGAAAGCUAGGGUAGCAAAAGGGAUUAGAUACCCCUGUAGUCCUAGCCGUAAACGAUGGAUACUAGAUGUUGUGCAUAAUGUACAGUAUCGUAGCUAACGCGUUAAGUAUCCCGCCUGGGGAGUACGCUCGCAAGGGUGAAACUCAAAGGAAUUGACGGGGGCCCGCACAAGCGGUGGAGCAUGUGGUUUAAUUCGAUGCAACGCGAAGAACCUUACCAGGGCUUGACAUACUACGAAUUUUCUUGAAAGAGAAAAGUGCCUUCGGGAAUGUAGAUACAGGUGGUGCAUGGCU